rnacentral:sRNA from 1 species
UCAGGCGGGACAACAAGCGGGUUUUGGUCCAAGUUCAGUUU